UAGGGAAUCUUCCGCAAUGGACGAAAGUCUGACGGAGCAACGCCGCGUGAGUGAAGAAGGAUUUCGGUUCGUAAAACUCUGUUGUUAGGGAAGAAAAAAUGUAUAGUAACUAUAUACAAAAGAGACGGUACCUAACCAGAAAGCCACGGCUAACUACGUGCCAGCAGCCGCGGUAAUACGUAGGUGGCAAGCGUUGUCCGGAAUUAUUGGGCGUAAAGCGCGCGCAGGUGGUUUAGAAAGUCUGAUGUGAAAGCCCACGGCUCAACCGUGGAGGGUCAUUGGAAACUAAUAAACUUGAGUGCAGGAGAGAAAAGUGGAAUUCCUAGUGUAGCGGUGAAAUGCGUAGAGAUUAGGAGGAACACCGGUGGUGAAAGCGGCUUUUUGGCCUGCAACUGACACUGAGGCGCGAAAGCGUGGGGAGCAAACAGG
rnacentral:rRNA from 1 species